AUACAUGCAGUCGAGCGAAUGGAUUAAGAGCUUGCUCUUAUGAAGUUAGCGGCGGACGGGUGAGUAACACGUGGGUAACCUGCCCAUAAGACUGGGAUAACUCCGGGAAACCGGGGCUAAUACCGGAUAACAUUUUGAACCGCAUGGUUCGAAAUUGAAAGGCGGCUUCGGCUGUCACUUAUGGAUGGACCCGCGUCGCAUUAGCUAGUUGGUGAGGUAACGGCUCACCAAGGCAACGAUGCGUAGCCGACCUGAGAGGGUGAUCGGCCACACUGGGACUGAGACACGGCCCAGACUCCUACGGGAGGCAGCAGUAGGGAAUCUUCCGCAAUGGACGAAAGUCUGACGGAGCAACGCCGCGUGAGUGAUGAAGGCUUUCGGGUCGUAAAACUCUGUUGUUAGGGAAGAACAAGUGCUAGUUGAAUAAGCUGGCACCUUGACGGUACCUAACCAGAAAGCCACGGCUAACUACGUGCCAGCAGCCGCGGUAAUACGUAGGUGGCAAGCGUUAUCCGGAAUUAUUGGGCGUAAAGCGCGCGCAGGUGGUUUCUUAAGUCUGAUGUGAAAGCCCACGGCUCAACCGUGGAGGGUCAUUGGAAACUGGGAGACUUGAGUGCAGAAGAGGAAAGUGGAAUUCCAUGUGUAGCGGUGAAAUGCGUAGAGAUAUGGAGGAACACCAGUGGCGAAGGCGACUUUCUGGUCUGUAACUGACACUGAGGCGCGAAA
rnacentral:rRNA from 1 species